rnacentral:rRNA from 1 species
UUUGUGAGAUCCGGUGGGCGAGGCGGCCCCCUUGGCACAACACUGACGCUCAGGUGCGAAAGCGUGGGGAGCAAACAGGAUUAGAUACCCUGGUAGUCCACGCCGGUAAACGAUGGUCCACUAGCUGUUCGUGACCUUGUGUCGUGGAGUAGCGGCAGCUAACGCACUAAGUAGACCGCCUGGGGGAGUACGGUCGCAAGAUUUAAAACUCAAAUUGAAAUUGACGGGGGCCCGCACAAGCGGUGGAGCAUGUUGGUUUUAAUUCGAUGCAAACGCGAAAAAACCUUACCCACCUUUGACAUGUACGGAAUCCUUUAGAGAUAGAGGAGUGCUCGAAAGAGAGCCGUAACACAGGUGCUGCAUGGCUGUCGCCAGCUCGUGUCGUGAGAUGUUGGGUUAAGUCCCGCAACGAGCGCAACCCUUGCCAUUAGUUGCUACGAAAGGGCACUCUAAUGGGACUGCCGGUGACAAACCGGAGGAAGGUGGGGAUGACGUCAAGUCCUCAUGGCCCUUAUAGGUGGGGCUACACACGUCAUACAAUGGCUGGUACAGAGGGUUGCCAACCCGCGAGGGGGAGCUAAUCCCAUAAAGCCAGUCGUAGUCCGGAUCGCAGUCUGCAACUCGACUGCGUGAAGUCAGAAUCGCUAGUAAUCGCNGGAUCAGAAUGUCGCGGUGA